GAUGAACGCUGGCGGCGUGCCUAAUACAUGCAAGUCGAGCGAACAGACGAGGAGCUUGCUCCUCUGACGUUAGCGGCGGACGGGUGAGUAACACGUGGAUAACCUACCUAUAAGACUGGGAUAACUUCGGGAAACCGGAGCUAAUACCGGAUAAUAUACUGAACCGCAUGGUUCAAUAGUGAAAGACGGUUUUGCUGUCACUUAUAGAUGGAUCCGCGCCGCAUUAGCUAGUUGGUAAGGUAACGGCUUACCAAGGCAACGAUGCGUAGCCGACCUGAGAGGGUGAUAGGCCACACUGGAACUGAGACACGGUCCAGACUCCUAAGGGAGGCAGCAGUAGGGAAUCUUCCGCAAUGGGCGAAAGCCUGACGGAGCAACGCCGCGUGAGUGAUGAAGGUCUUCGGAUCGUAAAACUCUGUUAUUAGGGAAGAACAAAUGUGUAAGUAACUAUGCACGUCUUGACGGUACCUAAUCAGAAAGCCACGGCUAACUACGUG
rnacentral:rRNA from 1 species